GCGGGCGUGGUGGAACUGGUAGACACGCUGGAUUUAGGUUCCAGUGGCGCAAGCCGUGGGGGUUCGACUCCCUUCGCCCGCACCA
rnacentral:tRNA from 1 species